rnacentral:lncRNA from 1 species
UUGGAUCACGCCGUUCUUCCUAUCUUCUCUUUUCACAACCAAUACCUACGAUGCCCUAUCUGACGACCACAACCUCCUCCUCCUCGACGAGACCUUCUGUUCCACCGCACAUCAGCCCGUGCGUCGCCAGCCUCUUUCUCUUCCCUCUCCACCACCGCGCCCCUCUUUCCUCUCUCUACAUUGCCACGCAACCUCCUCUAUUAGUGAACAAGGUCAAUGAAUUGGAGGAGACUGCACUUUUUACAGUGUCAAGGCCAUCAUGGUGAUUUCACUCUUUCUUAACUUGUGCUUGAAUAGUCGAUCCGUGCUUAUGAAUUAUGUUUGAAUUGACAUAACGUUUCUUGAAUGUGAUGAUUGGGUCAUAAGAUGUGAAUUUUCUAGGAUAUGGAUGAUAUUUAUUCAAUAAUAUAUUACAUAAAAUAUACUUUUUAUGUGCGUUAUUGUGUGUGGGCAUCAUCUCCGUGUGAGUAAAUUACAAUUUUGGAGAAAGAAAAAAAAAACAUUAAUUUGUAUUUUAAAUUAGUUAACGGCUAGUCAUUCUACUAUAAUCUUAGGAUAGUAGUAUAAAAUAAAUUGAAUGAUUUUCUUAAUAUUAGUGGAUUUCGUUAAUUUGUCAACUCGGUAAGUUUUUAGUGGUUUUCGUUAUAAUUGGUGUAGAUUUUGUCUUUAAAAAGGGAAUUUUUUUUAGUGGAUUAAGUUAAUUUCGUAGUGGACUACGUUAAUAUUUUAGUGGUUUUCGAUGAGCUUAAUAGUAGUGGAUUUCGUUAAUAUUUUAGUGGAUUUCGAUAUAAUUGUAGUGGAUUUUGUCUUUGAAAAGAUGAAUUUUUUCGUAGUGGAUUAGGUUAAGUUCGUAGUGAAUUACGUUAAUAUUUUGGUGUUUUCUAUAUUUUAUAGUGGUUUUUGAUGAGCUUAAUCAUAGUGGAUUUUGUUAAUAUUAGUGGGUUUCGUUAAUUUCUAGGUGAUUUCGGUAAGUUUUAGUGGAUUUCGAUAUAAUUUGAGUGGAUUUUAUCUUCGAAAAGUAUAUUUUUUUGUAGUGGAUUAGGUUAAUUUCAUAGUGGUUUUUGCUUUCAGAAUUGAUUUUUUUCGUAUGAAUUAAAUUGACACGUUGUUGUCACCUUUUUCUUUGGGUUAGGUUUUUGAACAUGCGGCGAUGGCACAAGGGUGAUUAGAUUGGGUUAUGCUCGGGUAACUCUACUAUUUUUUAGUGGUGGCGGCGUUUGUUUAAAAAAAAACCAGAGCAAUAGUAGUAGUUUUGUUAGAAUUGUUAAAACUAUUUGUUUUUCUCCUCCCAAAAGAAAUUAUUUUUCUUUUAGUACCGAUGAUUUGCUUAUCUACAUUAGAUGAUGUUGAGUGCAGAAGUUUUGUAGUUAAUUACAUUAUUUUCAUAGUGG